CAAGGUCUGGCGGCAGCCAUCAGGUAAGCCAAGAUGGGUGCAUAUAAGUACAUCCAGGAGCCAUGGAGAAAGAAGCAGUCUGAUGUCAUGCGCUUUCUUCUGAGGGUCCGCUGCUGGCAGUACCGCCAGCUCUGUGCUCUCCACAGGGCUCCCCUCGCACUCGGCCUGAUAAAGUGCGCCAACUGGACUACACGGCCAAGCAAGGUUGCAUUAUAUACAGGAUUCGUGUUCACCGUGGUGGCCGAAAACGCCCAGUUCCCAAGGGUGCAAUUUUACGGCAAGCCUGUCCAUCAUGGUGUUAACCAGCUGAAGUUUGCUCGAAGCCUUCAGUCUGUUGCAGAGGAGCGAGCUGGACGCCACUGUGGGGCUCUAAGAGUCCUGAAUUCUUACUGGGUUGGCCAAGAUUCCACAUACAAAUUUUUUGGGGUUAUCCUCAUUGAUCCAUUCCACAAAGCUAUCAGAAGAAAUCCUGACACCCAAUGGAUCACCAAACCAGUCCACAAGUACAGGGAGAUGCGUGGGCUGACAUCUGCAGGCCCAAAGAGCCGUGGCCUUGGAAAGGGCCGUAAGUUCCACCACUCUAUUGGUGGUUCUCGCCGGGCAGCUUGGAGAAGGCGCAAUACUCUCCAGCUCCACCGUUACCUCUAAUAUAAGUAAAGUUUGCAAAAUUCAUACCUAAUAAACAAUUUAGGACAGUCAAAAAAAAAAAAAAAAAA